rnacentral:rRNA from 1 species
UACGUAGGUGGCGAGCGUUAUCCGGAAUUAUUGGGCGUAAAGAGCGCGCAGGUGGUUGAUUAAGUCUGAUGUGAAAGCCCACGGCUUAACCGUGGAGGGUCAUUGGAAACUGGUCGACUUGAGUGCAGAAGAGGGAAGUGGAAUUCCAUGUGUAGCGGUGAAAUGCACAGAUAUCCUGAGGAACACCGGUGGCGAAAGCGGUCUUCUGGCGCGAAACUGACGCUGAGGCUCGAAAGCGUGGGUAGCAAACGGGGAUUAGAUACCCCU